rnacentral:rRNA from 1 species
GAUGAACGCUAGCUACAGGCUUAACACAUGCAAGUCGAGGGACCGGCGCACGGGUGAGUAACACGUAUCCAACCUGCCCUUUACUCGGGGAUAGCCUUUCGAAAGAAAGAUUAAUACCCGAAAUAAAAGAUGGGGAUGCGUUCCAUUAGGUGGUUGGUGAGUUACCGGCUAACCAAGCCUUCGAUGGAUAGGGGUUCUGAGAGGAAGGUCCCUCACAUGGGAACUGAGACACGGUCCAAACGCCUACUGGAGGCAGCAGUGAGGAAGAUUGGUCAAUGGGCGGUAGCCUGAACCAGCCAAGUAGCGUGAAGGAUGAAGGCUUAUGGGUCGUAAACUUCUUUUAUAUAAGAAUAUGUAUUAGAUGAAUACGGAUCGGCUAACUCCGUGCCAGCAGCCGCGGUAAUUC